GUGCAGCGCCCUCCUGCAUCAUUCGCUUGAAGUACAGCGCAUCUAGCGCUGGUGUAGCUGUGGGCAUCAAUAAAAGCAUAAUCAAUUUAAAGAGAUUGAUACAUUUCGGCGUCCCAGAUAUUGCGUAUGGGCAAUAGAAAACUGGCUACAAAAUGAACACAAGAAGAUCAAAACCCAAAUCGGAAACGCUAAGUCGUACGAACGCCGCUAGUUCCAGAACCGUGAACAAGCGAGGCGCGCAAAAAACCAACAACGAGGACAAAACCAUACCUAUCAAAAUGACAAAAGCGGACAAUGCUGGCGAUGUGGAGGCAGAAAGUUUAUCGUUCACUGCAAACAACGCCGAGGAAGAUGACGAAGAGCAGGGAUGCUACUUUGUCGACCAGAAAGGCAAUUACUAUUUUCAAGCCAGCGAAGACGCGGAACCGGUACUGGCGGCUGUAGGAACAGAGCCGUUUUCGGCAGAAGGGGAUGAAAAUAUGAAAAUCGAACAGGACAGCGUAAGUUACGUGCUUAUCAUGGAAGAUGGCGAGAAUAAGUCGACCAUUGUGGCGGAUACCGCUGACGGCGGAAAUCUGCAACCCGGUGAGGACGAAAUUUACGAUUUCGACGAUUCCGAUUUUAUUGUCGAAGAAUCGGCACCCAGUGCGAAGAAGCCGGGUCGCGUUAAGAAGGAACCGGCAGCCGAUGGUGCGAUGCACAUGUGCAACUACUGCAAUUAUACGACCAAAAAAAUGUUUCUCCUUUCCCGUCACCUCAAAUCGCACUCCGAUGAUCGACCGCACAAGUGCUCGGUCUGCGAGCGUGGCUUUAAGACGAUGGCCUCGCUGCAGAACCACGUAAAUACGCACACCGGCACCAAGCCUCAUCGUUGUAAAGUGUGCGAUAAUUGCUUCACGACAUCCGGUGAACUGAUACGGCACAUGCGGUACAAGCACACGCACGAACGGCCGCACAAGUGCACGGAGUGUGACUACUCGAGCGUGGAGCUGAGCAAAUUGAAGCGCCACAUCCGGACGCACACUGGGGAAAAGCCGUUCCAGUGUCCGCACUGUACCUACGCGUCGCCGGAUAAGUUCAAGCUGACUCGCCAUAUGCGCAUCCAUACAGGAGAAAAGCCGUACUCUUGCGACAUUUGCUUUGCCCGCUUCACACAGUCCAACUCACUGAAGGCACACAAACUGAUUCACCAGGUUGGCGAUAAGCCUGUCUACCAGUGUGAACUGUGUCCCACAACCUGUGGCCGCAAGACCGACCUGCGUAUUCAUGUGCAGAAACUGCACACGGCGGAAAAACCGAUCAAAUGCAAACGCUGCGACAGCACGUUUGAAGAUCGGUACUCGUACAAGAUGCACGUGAAGACACACGAGGGAGAACGGUGCUUCAAGUGUGACUUCUGUCCGUACGCUUCUAUCUCGGCUCGCCAUCUAGAAUCACAUCUUUUGCUGCACACCAAUCAAAAGCCUUUCAAAUGCUCCGAGUGUAGUCAGUGCUUCCGACAGAAGCAGCUACUAAAGCGACACAUAAACUACUACCACAAUCCCGAUUACGUCGUCCCGACACCAAAGGCGAAGACGCACGUCUGCCCUAGCUGCCCCCGCUCGUUCCGGCACCGGGGAAAUCUGAUGCGCCACAUGGCCAUGCACGAUCCCGAGUCACAGUUGCACGAGGAGCAGGCGGCAUUACGCGAAGGGCGCCAGAAGAAGGUGCAAAUUACGCUGGAGGAGGAAAUGGAUGACGAGGAAGAGGAGGAUGAAAAGGCGGAAGGUGGCGAUCUCGUCACUGUGCAGGAUGACGAUGGGCAGUACGUGGUGCUGGAGGUGAUACAGCUUCAGGAUAAGGAUGGUGCGGUUGAGAAAUCCAGCGGCAUGGGCACAAGGAAGCGUGGUGGAGCGCGAGCUUUAAACGAGGCGUCCGCUCCAUCCACUUCCGGCACGUCGAUCGUGACUAGGUCGGGAAAUGCAACAAUCCAGCAGCAGCAGGUAAAAAUGAAACAGGAGCAUAAAGAUGGUAACUCGCUGGACAACCAGUCGGACUUCCAAGGUGUGGAGGAAGAAGAGACGGAUGAAGAGGAUGAAGAAGAGGAGGAGGAGGAAGAGGAAGAGAUCGUGAUCGAACAGGGUGAUGAUCAUUCCGAGAGUGAAUUUAUUCUCUCAGGAGAUUUGGAAGACACUGAAAUGCUAAUGUCAACACUGCAAGCCCCCAAGCAAGAACGCUAUGAUCUGAGCAGUAUCACCGUAAGCCAGGCUGAGAUUGAGAAAAAUAUGAGCAAUUGCUUUGGAUUCUCAGAUGACGAAGAUGAAGAUGCAAAAUCUACGAUAACAUUGCUAACCUAAGCCACCGGAUUCUUGGUAAAUCAUCAGUUGCCAUCGUCUUCACGCGUAUCGCGAAGCUCUUCUGAGCUGGGUGCAUACUGGAAGGAAGUUAACAAAUGAAUGCAUCCACUCAUCGAUCUCGCAAGUAUGUGUUGGCAGUGCCAGUACCAUCAAAUGAUAACGAUUGAGGUUAUCUUCUCAACCCUACUAAUUAGUCGACGGAGUGAUUGUGUCCUAUGCGGACAUAAAGGUUUUAGUUUGAAUAAGACACCUACGACAUCAGCAGUUCAGGAGCUGAAACGUACGUUUAUAAGCGUCAUGUCACGAUUGCAAGGCGGAAUAUCAUUUAAUGUUUGUAUUUUACCUAUUAUAGACAUCAAACGAGUGUGCUCCAGGAUAGUUUGUAGCUAAUUUGAAAAAAACGGUAAAGUACUUCUUGUGGAGCAGAAAAUAGAUGAAAACUUCAAUUUUAUUCGAAAAUCCUUCGCAAACUCGUUCAACAAUCAAAACUGCUUAUCACUUUGCUAAAAGGCGAUAGCUGCUUUUGAAAAAUA